UAGGGAAUCUUCCGCAAUGGGCGAAAGCCUGACGGAGCAACGCCGCGUUAGUGAUGAAGGUCUUCGGAUCGUAAAACUCUGUUAUUAGGGAAGAACAAAUGUGUAAGUAACUAUGCACGUCUUGACGGUACCUAAUCAGAAAGCCACGGCUAACUACGUGCCAGCAGCCGCGGUAAUACGUAGGUGGCAAGCGUUAUCCGGAAUUAUUGGGCGUAAAGCGCGCGUAGGCGGUUUUUUAAGUCUGAUGUGAAAGCCCACGGCUCAACCGUGGAGGGUCAUUGGAAACUGGAAAACUUGAGUGCAGAAGAGGAAAGUGGAAUUCCAUGUGUAGCGGUGAAAUGCGCAGAGAUAUGGAGGAACACCAGUGGCGAAGGCGACUUUCUGGUCUGUAACUGACGCUGAUGUGCGAAAGCGUGGGGAUCAAACAGG
rnacentral:rRNA from 1 species